UACGUAGGGGGCUAGCGUUGUCCGGAUUUAUUGGGCGUAAAGAGCGUGUAGGCGGCCAGAUAGGUCUGCUGUGAAAACUCGAGGCUCAACCUCGAGAUGUCGGCGGAAACCAUCUGACUAGAGUCCGGAAGAGGAGAGUGGAAUUCCUGGUGUAGCGGUGAAAUGCGCAGAUAUCAGGAAGAACACCCGUGGCUAAGGCGGCUCUCUAGUACGUGACUGACGCUGAGACGCGAAAGCGUGGGGAGCGAACAGG
rnacentral:rRNA from 1 species